rnacentral:lncRNA from 1 species
UUAAUUCAUACAAACACGCCGACUUGCCAGUGAAAGUUGUAACCGACGGGGGUUCGACAAGACGACAACGUGGCCUAAAAGAAACCACCGCAGUGCCGCCACCGCUAAUAGCUUCCCGGCCGCCAUCUUCAUAUAUUCGGUAUUCUUAUAUCACUUCAUUUCUUAAUUUUUUUAUUAAAAAUCAAUCAUCCAAGUGUAAUUACAGAUGUUUUGCUAUUUGAAUUAUUUAUACCUGCAAGAUCAUCGAAGCCUGUUGAAUUAUUUGGUUAGGGUUUUGGAAAUAUAGAUGGUUAGUUUUCUUUAACUUAGUACUUGUUUAGUAGGGAUUUUGUUAAUUGAUUUUUGUUUCGCAAGGGUAGUUGCUAACAAUUAAAAAUGGAUCAUAUGAUGUGUAAGGAACAAAUCUUGAGGCAAAGUCCCAAAAAGAAGUAUUUUAUUGGCAAUGAUUUACAAUUGGAACUAAACAGAAUGCCUUCAAGGAGCGCAAGCAGACGAGUACUGAAAGAAAUGUUUAAGUUUAAACUAAAAAAUUGAAAUUACAUAUUCUCUGUUUGAAAGUGUUUGAUUUUGGGUCUUUUUUCUUUAUAUUUUCUCUUCCUUUUAUAUUUUCUUAAUGAUUUUUUCAUGACAAAUCGUUUGAAAACUGUUUGAUUCUUUUAUAACUACCCACUUUUUUUAUGAUGGCUAACUUGUCGUGGAACUGCCGUCUCUAACUGCUGUCACUACUCUUUGUCGUUUAACUGGGUUCUUUGAAUCGUGGAAUGUGAUAAGGUUACUCAAUAACUGCUUCAAUAACUGCAUUUCUGGAUAACCAUAACAUUUUAUGUUUGCUAAAAUCUUGGGCGAUUCAAAGGUAUGGGUGAGAACAUUGUCAUCGUUCUGGGCGACUGUAAGACACUCCAUUCGCUCAGAUCUUGGACGUCUUGCAAGUUUAGGCGAUGAUGUUACUGUGUUCGUGGGCUUCCACUACAUUCAUUAAUAACCCUGUCUAGACUUUUAUCCUGAAUUGUCCAAUUAAGCUUCAUUCCUUAGACUAUUCGAUUUGGAAAUUCCUCAAUUGUGCUUCAUUCCUUGGACUAUUCGAUUUGGACUGCACUUUUAGUGUGUCAACAAUUUUUUUACCGUUAGAGAUAUGUAGAGAAUAAUUCAAAAAUGUCAGGUGAAAAAGUGAAAUAAUGGUAAAAAAAUUGAUGUUAUUUGGAUUAAAAUCCUUACCAAACAUGCUCUUAAUUUGUUUUAGGCUAUGUUUCGUUUCAUUUGAUUCCAUCAUAUAUAUUGAAAUAUAGUACAUUGAUCUUGUCAUUUUAUUUACUUUUAGUGUAUCUGAAUAUUGAAGUUUAAGUAUACAGAUAUUUAAGGUUUAUUGUUUUUCCGGUAUUCUUAAUUUCUUAUGACUUCUUUUGCACUAAGCUAUGCUUUUGCCGCUACAUUAUAGCGACAUGAAGUCUAUGAUGUUAAUUCUCCGUACAAAUAUGGCAAUUAUCUUUUACAGAUGCAAAUUAAACUGUUUUGGAUCUGAAAAGGAAGGUCGAGCUAUUCGAUUAUUUUGGUAACAAUAAAUUUCAACAAAAUUAAAGUUCUUAUUUAGAUCUUCAAAUGCUUGCCUUGUCUUGAGUCGCUGUCAAGAUUGAAGAGGCAUGGAACUUCAAAUUGUGGGAUGUUGUCAACUUUAAAAGACUUCGCUGGUCUACAUUUUUAUGUUUUCAUUUAAGCAAUUUAGAUUGACCCAAAAAUCUAUAUUGAUGCUCUUUCCUAAAUUUUUUUAGGAAAAUGAUAUAUGUACCACAUUUACAGUUCUCUCACAAAAUAUGGGGCCUGUGGGCCCCACUCUUACAUGUGAGAGGGUUGGCAAGGAAGCUGUCAACAAUGAUGUACUUGUAGCACGUUUCUAAUUUUUAUGUGCAAUCACACUUGUAAUGUCGGUGGGUACUUGGUCAUUCCCAAAGUGGGUCGAUCAUAAUUUUUAACGAAUUAUGGGCCCUCGUCUAAAGCAAUGCAGUCAGUCUGGAGAAUUAGCCCCCAUUAAAUUUCAUUUCAUUUUUCUCUCCUAUUUUCAACCACACAAUCUUCCAUAAAAUAAUAUUACACAUAAAUGGAAAAUUUUUCUUUCUUUUUCAAUCAUUCAUUUUUCAAAAAAAUACCAUUUUACCGAUUUUCAUUUCAAAAAAUGGGGCCAAACGGGGGCUUAAGAAGUGCACACCUCACAAGCCUUGAGGUUUGUGCCUCCCUCAAGUGAGGCAUGAGCCUCCAAAAACUGCCGUCUUGAGGUGUUUCUCAUUUGCCCUCUUUUUAUUUUUUAAACAAUGCCAAUUAUGGUUAAUUGUUAUGCAGUAAUACAUCUACGCUGGUUUUAAAUGCUGAUAUUGAUUUGACUCCUCAGUUUGGUAGUUGAGGGCAAAAUUUCAAUCAUCUAACGUUCGCUGGUCAUUGAGCUAGAAGUAACGGAAAUUAGCUGUGUCAUAGGAUGUUAAGAAUCUGGCCAAAUGGUAACAAGUGAGUUACCAGGUUUAGGGUUGCGUGAAAAAGGGAAAGAGCAAGAUAGGGAGAGCCGCCGAAGACGCGAUAGAGAUAGCCCAAAGAGAGAGGAAGACAUCUAGCUAGACGUCGUAGAAAUUAUCAACUGCGAAGACGGAGGGUAGAACAUGCUAAAUUUUCUCAAAAAUGAAAAAAUGAGCAGUGCAACCUGAUAUGAUGAUAACGGUGGGAAUGAUGGUCUAGCACUGGUUCCUGUUUCAGGAUCCAGCGUCCGAUCUGAUGGUGCAAGCAUGUUGGAUAUAUCGACCAAUGGGAAAAACAAGAUGUUCUAAAAGUCUGAGGGUGAGUUUUAUACGGUCCACCAUGAAAUGUGAAAUGAAGAAAGAAUAUAUUGUUGGCUUUCAAAGUGUAUCUGUUUACUUAAAGAUUAACUUUUUCUCUGUGAUUAUUUGACAAGUGCAGAAGCAAGAUCCCCUGAAACACCCAAACGUUCUCGAAGAUCACGUCUGAAUCAAAUCAGACAUCUUACACGAACGCUGGAUUCUUCGGAGUCCAAGCCUGGUGACUGACAGCAAACCAAAGUUGAUGUUGUAACAAGGGAAAGUGCUAUUACAAAUUGUAAGUCCUAGAACUUGCAUUGCUGUCAUUAUUGUUAAGAGAAGUGAACUUUACAGUAUUCUAAACUUGAAGUUAAAAUAGAAGCACAUAUAGAUCUGUGUGUUUACUACUCGUAUUUGAUGCAGUAUUAAGCUUAUUGGAGGUUUUUUUUUUUUUUUUUUUUUUUAGGUGCGACAAGAAAAACUAUGCUGCUAGUUAAUUUGAAACGUCCUGCUCGAGAACUAAAUUCUCCCAUUGGAAAGACCCCUGAUCAAAACAAUUUGAGUACCAUACAAGGUAUGAUCUUUGAGGUCCCCGGAGUAUUUUCCAAUUUAUCCAUCAACUGAGUGAUCGAGGAAAUGGAUUGUGUUCAAGAUGUGGCAGCAGAUAAUGUUACAUUCAAAAAUUAUAGAAUUAUUUCUAAUUCCAGCAUUCUACAAUAAAACAAGUUUAAAAUGAAUUUUGCAUAUUUAAAGAUUCUUAUGUCCACCAGUGAUCCUCCAUGGGUAUUUGAUGUAAAAUUUUGUAAAUU